UCGGGCUUGUGACGCUCCCAUGCUUUUAUUCCCUCCAACGAUGCUUUCCAGGCAGUGCUGUACAGUAUAUGUUUCCCUCCCACGCUGUUGCUCGCGAGAUCUCUCCUUUUUCGCCGCUAAUUGAAAGUGUUGAGCAAAUCCGCGACGCAACUCGUGAGCUCGAGGCCAUGCAAGAUUCUCUUUGUACAAGUGCGGCACUCGGUACUUCUCCCCCACUUCAAAAUUUAAAGCUUCGACUUAGGUCAAAGCCUCUAUCAGAUCUGACAUCGGCGGCUCAAAAUAUAGAUAAAUAUAU
rnacentral:lncRNA from 1 species